rnacentral:lncRNA from 1 species
AUCCUUAACCCACUGAGCAAGGCCAGGGAUCAAUCCCACAUCCUCAUGGAUACUAGUCGGAUUUGUUUCUGCUGCACCACAAUGGGAACUCCAUACUGCAUUUUAUAUGUUAAAAUGAUUUUCACCUAAUCCGUUUCUUCGUUUCGAUUGGAAGGGUAAUUCCCAAGCCCAUCACCUAGACUAAAGGUCAUUUUUAGUCUCAGAGAACAAUCUCUCAGGCACCUGGUGCUGUGAUAUCGUGACAAGACAUUGUUCCAUGACCAGCUCAGCAUGCUGGUUGCUCUGGCAGGAUUAAUGUGAUGUGAGCUAGGACUGGGGAGAAAAAGGCAAUGGGAGACUAGAAAUGAAGGGAGUCUGGCGCUAACAUUUACAGACACUCUUGAUUUCCUAACAGCUAAUCCUGGGGAGGAUAAUUAUUAUUCCUCCUUUUUUACCUAAUCAGGUCCUCACAAUUUUAUAUAUUCCUCCACCCCAAAAUGUAUAUUCAUUUAGCCUUUAAUAAUUUUAGGUAAACAGUAGCUUCCAUUGUGGCUUAGUGGGUUAAGGACCUGAAAUUGUCUCUAUGAGGGUGUGAGUUCAAUCCCUGGCCUGGCCCAGUGGGUUAAAGACCUGUUGUUGCUGCGAGCUUUGAUGUAUGUCUCAAGUGCAGCUGGGAUCCAAUGUUGCCAUGGCUGUGGUGUAGGCCAGGGCUGCAGUUACAAUUCAAUCCCUGGCACAGGAACUUCCAUAUGCUGCAGAUGCAGCUGUAAAAAGAAAAAAAAAUUGUUUUUAAUAAACAAAAUAAUUUUAGGCAAACAAAAAAUGAUUAAGAAAUCUGUACUAUAUAUAGUUUUUUAAUCAAACAUUAGUAACUACCAAAUUCAUGGUAAACAUUAGCCCUAUCAUUCUGAGAUUUCAAGCAUACUCCCUUAAUUUUUCAGAUUAACACAUGAAAAAUACUAUGCUUCUUAACUAUUCACAAAUAAUCUGACAAACAUUUACUCUGCUGUUCAAUUUUUAUUAAAACAUUUUUUUUUUUAAAAAAGACCUCAUAGGUGCUGGUUAUAUUUCAGUGUCAAUCAUACAUAACAUGCCCAUGAGUCAUAUCUAUGCGGUUUGUACUGCAAAAGAGAGGCAGUAUUUGGCCUGAAUAAAAUUAAAAAUUUUUUAUUAUUUUAUUUUAUUGUAUUGGUUUUUAGGGCCACACCCACAGCAUAUGGAAGUUCCCAGGCUAUGGGUCAAAUCAGAGCUACAGCUACCAGCCUACACCACAGCCACAGCAACAUGGGAUCCAAGCCACAUCUGCAGCCUACACCACAGCUCACAGCAAUGACAGAUUCCCCCACCCACUGAGCGAGGCCAGGGAUCGAACCUGCAUCCUCAUGGAUCCUAGUCAGGUUGGUUACCGCUGAGCCAUGAAGGGAACUCCAAUGGCCUCAUUAAAAUUUAAAUAAAGUAAAAGUUUAAAAUUGAAAUACUUUGUAUUCGUUUUAUGGAAAUGUUUCCUUUUUAUUAAAAAUGUGAACUUAAUUAAUGUUUUAAAACACAGAAGGAAAAUACAAAAUUCACUAUAAGAUGCAAUUAACUUAAAAGUGUCAAAAAGUUACAUUUGCUAGUUUACUGUGUGGUGAGCAUGACACUGAAUAGCUACUUUUCCCAAGGUGGCAGGGAGGAGGCCCUGGGAAGGGUUUUACAAGCUUAGUCUCAUGUAUUCCUCACACUCAUUCUGAAGAGUGUUGUUUUGUCAUUUUAUAGAUGACUGAGAUUAAGGAAACUGUCCAACAAAGACUGCAGAGCCGGGACAUGAACUAGGCGGGCCCUAAGGUCUACACUGACUGAGCCUCCUACUCGUCAUUGGGAGACGGGAAAUCAUGGACCAUUCUUCUGCUUGCCUCAAAUGUAACGUAAUAUAUACGCUCCUUCCCAGACCUGAAAUACUAUUUCUCUUCUUAAAAUGAGUUGCUACUUUUAACAUCUUCUAACCAUACCUUUGAACUUUUAAUGGAUCAAAUAGUUUUGGAAAGUUUGUACAUGUAAUAAACUAGAGGCACUAGGUGUUUAUAGCCUGCGAAGUGAGCUAUAUUCUGCUUAACUAUCACACAGAGCAUUACAAUAGCCUUAUUAGCUGCCAUUCCUGGUGCUUCCUGAGACUUCAUUUACAUCAUAUAUCCAGGCUACCAAAACUACAAUUAACACACAAGCCCUGAAGGUGUUAAUUACCAUAAAUUGACCAAAAUAUGGAGUACUUAUAGUCCCCCGAUUGACCAAAGUAUAGUAUCAUCCUAGUAUGUUUCUGAAUUCUCUCUCCCAAGGGUGAGGAAUUUUUGAACAACCGAAGAAAAGGAAGUUUCAGUCCGGAGCUCCUUGAAGAAAUUUAAAAAAAAAAAAAUUCCCUUUAGGAGGGGGGUCAAAACACACAUGGGUAGGCUUUUCCAUAUGGGACCGACUGCCCUGCUGAAAGACAGCACAACUUUUUAUUUUUAAGCACAGUAAAUGGAUUUGCUCUAACCUCUUUAAUUUUGUAAAAUGAAAUAAAGUGACUAGAAGUCCCCAUUGUGGCUCCGCAGUAACAAAACCAACUAGUAUCCAUGGGGAUGUGAGUUCAAUCUCUGGCCUGGCUCAGUGGGUUGUAGAUGUGGCUUGGAACUUGCGUUUGCUGUGGCUGUGGUCUAGGUCAGCAGCUAUUGCUCCAACUCAACCCCUAUCCUGGGAACGUCCAUAGGCUGCACUUGUGACCCUAAGAAGCAAAAGAAAGAAAGGAAGGAAGGAAGGAAGGAAGGAAGGAAGGAAGGAAGAAAGAAAGAAAGAAAGAAAGAAAGAAAGAAAGAAAGAAAGAAAGAAAGAAAGAAAGAAGAACCACAGGAGGGGGGUUGGAGGAGAUGCAAAUGUUUCACUUGAGAAGAUCAUGGAGAAUGAUGGCUUUCUGUGGGCACAGGACAUGGAUUUGGUGUGAGGGAAGGUAUAUUUGAGUGGCAGCUUCUAAAGAGAAGAAAUAGUUCCAGCAAAUGACAGGAGUCAGCUCAGUGAGAGCCACACCUGGAGAACAGCCCAGUGUCCAGUUCACCCUGCAUGCAGUGAUAUGAGAAGAUACAGUACUGGGCACAGCUGAAGAGGUAGCCACGGGCCAUCUACGAUGGUGAUUUCAGCACAGGUGACCUUGUGAGACGAGGCCUACGGCCUAGGUCAGGCCAGGAGAGGAACAGCACGUGGUGACUGUCUGAGGGGAGCAGGAGCCAAGACAGUUGCGAGGGGUGGGGGGGGGCAGGAGAGGUGGACAAAGCUUGGACCCAAGUCACUGAGAGAAUGACUCCCAUGGGUGGAGAGGGAAGUGAGAGAGAUGAUGACCAGGGCUUUCCUAAGACAUCUCACAUCCUGCUCAUGCGUAUGUGAAGAUAAGGUUUUUCCCCAAUCUCAGACGUUGGAUAGCUUUAGUUAUUUUUUCAAAAUAUGUAAUCUCAGGAUUUUGAAAGUUGCUAAAUUCCUUAAAAAGACUACUUGGGGGGUGGGGGGCAGGAGAGGGAUGGACUGGGAGAAUGGAAGAAGAACAAGGUCCUACUGUACAGCACAGGGAACUAUAUCCAAUCUCUUGGGACAGAACAUGAUGGAAGAUAAUAUGAGAAAAAACAAGUAUAUAGGUAUGACUGGGUCACUUUGCUAUACAGCAGAAAUUGGCAGAACAUUUAAUAAUAAAAUACGUUUUUAAAAGUUUUUUAAAAAUAAAGUUGUACAAACUUGAAAAAAAAAAAAAGACUACUUAAUACACAUGGCAAGAUGCCAUGUGGAGAUACCAUUGCUGCAUUAUUUCCCACAUUUACUUGGGACCUCACAAGCCUCCAGUUAUUAAGAAGCAGAGCGUGAGGCAAGCACUGCCCCAAGGUGGGGAGCAGGAGAGGAACAAGGGAACAGGGAGUGUGCCUUCUUGGGCUUUAAAAAGCAGAAGGCAGAGAGAUUCAUAAGACCUGCAACUGAACAAACCCUUCUUCCUGCCCCUCCUGGAUAAAGUAAAGCUUCUCUGAGAAGGAAAGACAAAGACACAAAGAGAAGGAAAGAAAUAAGAGAUUCAAAUUCCAACUCACUUAGGUGAAGUCUGGGGUGGGGGCAGGGAGAGGAGCAAGGUGGCUGAUGGGACUCUAAGUUUGGGGGUUCAAGAGUGGUAAGGCUCGGGGCUCGGUUCCUGCAGGGAACCCUGGGAGGUCCUAACCAUACAUGGUUAGAAGCCCCCUGCACCAUGUGACCUGGGAUGGAAGGAAGAGAGUCAGCUCUCGAAGGUGUCAGGGAAUAAGGAGGCUCUGCUCAGCCCCAGUGUCUCCAGUCCAGACAGCAGGAGAGCAGGCCAGCCUUCCCAGCCCUGAGAGGGUGAACUGACAGCAGGAGAGCUUCCUCACACAGGUCCCGCCUUCCUGUGAAGGGGCCACAGCCACAAAGAGGAAAGUGGACCGGGAACUGGAAGUCAGGCAGGGCUGUGCCCACUUCUCAGCAUGGCAACGUGGAAGGGUGAUGGCACUCAGAGCAGAUACCGGCUCAGGCAGUCUCAGAGCCCCAGUACCUGAUACCAACUGAAUCUUUGGAACCAAAAUACCACCCAGGGAAGAAGAAGAAAGAGAAGGGCAAUCCUGUUUGUCUGACUUUAUGCUUGAUGUAACAAAAAAAUCACCAACACAUCAAAAUUUGCCUUUAGUUUAAUUGAUUUAGUUUUCUGAUAUGUGGAAUAAGGUAUCAGUAUGAAAGUUCAGUUUGGGUACAAUACAGAAAGUUAGAUUUUUUUUUUUAAACUGAAUUUGUGACCUAAAAAUAGCAUAUACAUUUGGUUUAGACAAUAUAGCCUGGCCCUUCUCCACUGACCUAUUAUUCUUACGCUAUGCUGCAAUCAAAUCACUAACCAAGUCAUGUUUGGAUUCUUUUAUUUCUACUAGAGGGAAUCUUUUCUU